AGCGGGCGUAGCAAUACGUCAGCGGCAGACGGGUGAGUAACGCGUGGGAACAUACCUUUUGGUUCGGAACAACACAGGGAAACUUGUGCUAAUACCGGAUAAGCCCUUACGGGGAAAGAUUUAUCGCCGAAAGAUUGGCCCGCGUCUGAUUAGCUAGUUGGUGAGGUAAUGGCUCACCAAGGCGACGAUCAGUAGCUGGUCUGAGAGGAUGAUCAGCCACAUUGGGACUGAGACACGGCCCAAACUCCUACGGGAGGCAGCAGUGGGGAAUAUUGGACAAUGGGCGCAAGCCUGAUCCAGCCAUGCCGCGUGAGUGAUGAAGGCCUUAGGGUUGUAAAGCUCUUUUAGCGGGGAAGAUAAUGACGGUACCCGCAGAAAAAGCCCCGGCUAACUUCGUGCCAGCAGCCGCGGUAAUACGAAGGGGGCUAGCGUUGCUCGGAAUCACUGGGCGUAAAGCGCACGUAGGCGGCUUCUUAAGUCAGGGGUGAAAUCCUGGAGCUCAACUCCAGAACUGCCUUUGAUACUGAGGAGCUUGAGUCCGGGAGAGGUGAGUGGAACUGCGAGUGUAGAGGUGAAAUUCGUAGAUAUUCGCAAGAACACCAGUGGCGAAGGCGGCUCACUGGCCCGGUACUGACGCUGAGGUGCGAAAGCGUGGGGAGCAAACAGGAUUAGAUACCCUGGUAGUCCACGCCGUAAACGAUGGAUGCUAGCCGUUGGCGAGCUUGCUC
rnacentral:rRNA from 1 species